rnacentral:rRNA from 1 species
UGGGGAAUUUUGGACAAUGGGGGAAACCCUGAUCCAGCCAUCCCGCGUGUGCGAUGAAGGCCUUCGGGUUGUAAAGCACUUUUGGCAGGAAAGAAACGUCAUGGGUUAAUACCCCGUGAAACUGACGGUACCUGCAGAAUAAGCACCGGCUAACUACGUGCCAGCAGCCGCGGUAAUACGUAGGGUGCAAGCGUUAAUCGGAAUUACUGGGCGUAAAGCGUGCGCAGGCGGUUCGGAAAGAAAGAUGUGAAAUCCCAGAGCUCAACUUUGGAACUGCAUUUUUAACUACCGGGCUAGAGUGUGUCAGAGGGGGGUGGAAUUCCGCGUGUAGCAAUGAAAUGCGUAGAUAUGCGGAGGAACACCGAUGGCGAAGGCAGCCUCCUGGGAUAACACUGACGCUCAUGCACGAAAGCGUGGGGAGCAAACAGG